rnacentral:sRNA from 1 species
CCUGGGUGUGGUGGCGCAUACCUGUAAUCCCAGCAGCUCAGGAGGCUGAGGCAGGAGGAUCAUGAGUUCAAAGCCAGUCUCAGAAACUUAGUGAGGACUUAAGCAACUUAAUGAGAGGAGCCUGUCUCCA